GAGUGCUGGGUCGGGCUUCCAGCUCCCUACAACGCAGACCAGUACUGGAGUUCGUGGUGCUGGAAGACCGCCGCCCGACUCUGGGCCCCGGGUAGGAAACAACAAUUUCGGACCUCCUGGGGUCUAUGCUAGGUAUGAGGUGUAUCUUUGCCCUCCAUCAAGUAGCAAAGAUGGACAUGUAAACAAAUUUCGACACUGUGAUGACUGCCACAAAAAGCAGCAUUAUGAGGUUGAAUGUAAAAGGAUAACCUUAGCGGCGGCGGGGGCCGGAGGAUGAAGGAAGGCUUCCUGAGGUAGGCGCUGGUUGAAACUGAAGUUGGAGAGAGCAAGUGGCAUUUGCUGAAGUGCAUUUCCGGUAGAAAACUCCAGUGGUCCCUCACCUGACUGAGUGGCGCAGUCAGAGAUAAAUGGAACAGGUACACUGACCAGAAAGGGCAAGAUGGGCUAAACUUCGCCGUUGGGCCACUGGGCUCCCCCGCAGGAUUUUAAAGAGCUAGCCAGUAGAUGGAUUUUGUUUUUGUUAUUUUCGCAAUUUAUUUUCAAAUAUGUAAUACGCGAACUUGGUACAACAUUCAUGUGAUAAAAAGGUAGAUACGUGGGCAGGACGCGGUGGCUCACGCCUGUAAUCCCAGCAUUUUGGGAGGCCGAGAUGGGCGGAUCAUUUGCUGUCAGGAGUUCGAGACCAGCCUGGCCAACAUGAGUCUACAAAUAAACAUUUUAUAAAGAUGAUCCUUCAAUACAUAUUCUACAGCCCAGUUAAAAUGUGAGAGGCCAUGAUCUACAGACAGCCAUUUAUAAAGGUGGAUCAGGGCCGGACACGGUGGCUCAACGUCUGUAAUCCCGGCACUGUGGGAGGCCAAAGCGGGAGGAUCGCUUGAGCCCAGGAGUUCGAGACCAACCUGGCCAACAUGGUGAGACCCCAUCUUUACAAAAAAAUAUAUAUAUCCAGGCAUAGUGGUGUGCACCUGUGGUCCUGUGGUCCCAGCUACUCAGGAAGCUGAGGCAGUUGAGGCUGCAGUGAGCCACGUUCUGGCCACUACACUCCAGCCUGGGCAUCAAAGUGACAAGACCAAAAAAAAAAAAAAAUGUGGAUUGGAAGGAGGCAAGAAAGAAGUCAGGAAAAGGGUGGAAUGUAAGUCCCUAAGGACACAAUCUUACUCACAAUUGUAUCUCCAACAUUUGGCAUAAUGCCUAAUACGUAAGUAUUUUAUGAAUUAAUUAAACGAGAACACAAGCCUAAAUUAAGGCAAUGGCAAUGGAGAAGAAGAAACCAACUUGAGAAAUAUUUAAAGGUCAUUGUCAAUGGAACUUAGUGACUUUAAUGGUUAAUUUUAUCUAUCAACUUGGCUAGGCGAUGCUACCCAUGUUACUCAGUUUUUGGUCAAACACUAGUCUAGUUGUUGCUAUGAAUUGUAUUUGUUAGAUGUGAUUAACAUUUAAAUCAGCAGACUUUGAUUAAAGUACAUUACCCUCUAUAAUGAGGGUGGGCCGCAUCCGGUCAGUUCAAAUUAAAACGAGACCCUUAAGAAGAAGCAAUUCAGCCUCCAGACUGCAGCGUCAAAUCUCCCUGGGUCUCCAGGCUGUUUGUCUGCCCUGCAGAUUUCAGACUUGCCAGCUCCCAGAAUAAUGUGAGCCAAUUCCUUAAAAUAAAUCUCUUUCUGCAUAUACACAUCCUAUUGAUUCUGUUUCUCUGGAGAACCCGUACUAAUAUAGUGUCUGACUAGAUAUGAAGGAGGAGGGGAAGGGAGAAAUAGAUAGACGAUGCCUUUGGAUAUUGAGUGACACUUAUCUAGUUGCUUAAGUCAAAAACCUGAAAACUGGUUAGGCACGCCUAUUACGGGCUCACGCCUGUAAUCCCAGCACUUAGGGAGGCUGAGGCAGGCAGAUCAUUUGAAGUAAUUCAAGACCAGCCUGGCCAACAUGAUGAAACCCCAAGACCACUAAAAAUACAAAAAUUAGCCGGGCGUGGUGGCACAUGCCUGUAACCCCAGCUCCUCAGGAGGCUAAAGCAGGAAAAUUGCUUGAACCCAGGAAACAGAGGUUGCAGUGAGCCGAGAUUGUGCUACUCCACUCCAGCCUGGGAGAGACUCCAUCUGAAAACAAACAACAAAAAAAAAUGCUGGGCACAGUGGCUCACGCCUGUAAUCCCAGCACUUUAGGAGGCUGAGGCGGGCGGAUCACCUGAGGUCAGGAGUUCAAGACCAGCCUGGCCAAUGUGGCAAACCCCAUCUCUACUAAAAAUAAAAAAAAAAUUAGCUGGGCAUGUUGGCGGGCACCGUAAUACCAGCUACUCGGGAAGAUGAGGCAGGAGAAUCACUUGAACCGGGAGGCAGAAGUUGCAGUGAGCUAAGAUCGCGCCAUUGCACUUUAGCCUGGGCGACGAGCGAAACUCCCUCUCAAAAAAAAAGAAGAAGGCUGGGCGCGGUGGCUCAUGCCUGUAAUCCCAGCACUUUGGGAGGCCGAGGUGGGUGGAUCACUUGAGGUCAGUAGUUCGAGACUAGCCUGGACAUGGUGAAACCUGUCUCUACUAAAAAUACAAAAAUUAGCCAGGUAUAGUGGCUCAUGCCUAUAAUUCCAGCUACUUGGGAGGUUGAGGCAGGACAAUGGUUUGAACCCAGGAGGCAGAGGUUGUAGUGAGCUGAGAUUGUGCCACUGCACUCCAGCCUGGAUGACACUCUAUC
rnacentral:lncRNA from 1 species